UGUGGAGGGAAGGUUCAGUGGGAUUUGCUCGUGCAGGUACAGUAAACGCUGCAGAAAAUAACCGGCCUCGUCACCGGCUCUGCGCUUCGGCAGCGGUGGGCGCAAAAUGCAGGGCACGGCCAGGCAGAACCCGCCAGAUAUGGGCGUUUGCCAGUCUCGUAUUUUUUAAAUUAAAAAAAAAGUUGUUUUGUCAUUGCAGCAUACUGGAUUAGUAGCCCCGUCACUGCAUUUUUGGAUGCUUAACGCUAUCUAAAGUGUCUUUUUUUAAUUAAAAUAAUACCAGCAGGAUGAUUUCAGAACAAGUCUUUACGUUCCAUGAAACAAACAAGCAAAAGAAAUCUUUUGGUGUAUAGUGAGCCAUACUUUUAUGUAGGGUACUUUUGGGUUUCAUUUCAAAAGACACUUCUUCACACCAUUGAGGUUUUGGCCACCUGUAUUCAACUUUCCCAAAAAAGUUUGCAGCCAGGCGUUUGACAGUACAACUUUUGCUGAACAGAACAGGAAGAAUACAAAUUAAAAGUAUUGAGAUAAAAUGGGUGCUUUCAAAUGAUUGGGGGCUUGGAAUUGUAUCUAAAGUAUUUGAGAAAAUAGCCAAAAUAACUUCUGAACCACUGGAGGUUGUUUUUGAUGAGUCCUGUCAGAUAAAUGACAUUUCAGGACCAGGAAAAGCCAAAGAUAGUCGUAGCAAAAAAAAAAAUUCAAGAUAGAAAAUGACAGAUAGGUCAGCCUACUUUGAUCCCUGUAAGUAAAUCUAAAUUAUUAGCUUCUACUACCUAAAAGCAAAACCAUCAGGUAGCAAAGCCCGAAUGGAUCAAGGUCUGGAGGAAGCUUAUGUGUCAGAAUUUUUGAAAUGACAUCUUUAAAUUAAAGAAGAAACGUGCUAAAAUGGAAGCUCUUUAAAAGGUCUGCUUUCUUGUAAAUAAUGGGUUUACUCAAUGAGCAGGAAUCAAGAGAAUAAAAUAUGAAUUUAGUUCUUCCCUUUUAGUAGUGAAAAAGACUACAGAAGUAUUUCAAUAUAUACAUGUGCCUUGUGUGUCACUUUUUGUUUUCACAUUACAGUCAAAACAUAGAAUAAGCAGCUUUUCAGGUAAACAGCGUUUUCUGUUAAAAUUAAUACUCUUCACAAAGCCAAUAGGUAUAGAGAACUACAAUAUUCUGUUCAAAAGAAAUUGUUAUUUAUCAAAAUACUGAAAUACUCUGAUAUCUUUAAAUGACAGUUAUUUUCACAAGUGAUCACAUUUUCCUUUUCAAGAAAAAGAAAGACCAGAAAUUUGUUGUUUGUGUAGACAUAUUCCCUACAGAAAGUAAUCUCGCAAGUAGAACAGUACAUGGAUGCUAUUUGUCUGGGAGUGGUGUACACAAGCCUCAAUAUGCCUUGUACUGUGUUUUUAUGAUCUGUGCAUUGAGUGGUCCCAAAUAACGUGCUGGCAAGCCUCCUGAUUCUUCUUCCACAUAAACCAGCAUAAGCUUUCCUUACAUUAAAAUUCUGUCAUUACACUGUAAUUUCCAAAUUGGUCUAAUUCAACCAAUUAUCAACCAACCUUUUUAUCCAACCAGCAAGUAGAUUUGCUUAUAAAAGGAUCAAAGGAGUUUAGGCUGUUUAGUUGCAGAAAUACUCAUUGUCCUGGGGUUGAAGGACAUCUGGGGUGAGAAGGCAGUAUGUGGCUCUGCUGCAACAGGCAGAGUGAGAUUAUUCUAGAGUUAAUUCAAAGCAGUUCACUAUAAACAGUUUUACAACAAAAUGAGUCAUUCUGCACAUUGAAUUCUCUCUGAGCUAUGUUUUUUUAAGUUGAAGCAGAACCUAGCAGAAAGAUCAUAGGAAGACUUCAAACAAUAUUCAAAUAGAAAUCUCAAUGUUUAACAAAACCAUGGGUUUAACACCUGUGCAGUUGAGAAUGAUACUUCUAAACAUACAAAUAAACCUUUAUUAGCCUUAGAAAUAAAAGAAGGCUAUCUGAAAAUACUUGUUUACCCCAUAUUGCUUCAAAGUUUUAUAAGCUAAAACAAAACAGAACAAACAAACAAACAUAAAAGAAUGAUGUGGUAUUUCAAACAAGAAACCAAGGAGAAUAUGUUUUUUGUUUCCAACAUAUAAAGUAUACCUAUCAAAAAGGAAGAACAUUUUCUGGGUAAGGCAGCUAUCAGUCUUGUCAGAACUGUAUUUCAUUUAUCUAUAUAUGUCAUUACUCUAAUUAGUUUAAUUUAAACUGAUAAAACAAAUGUACUGCUCAAUACUAAGCACCAUGCAUUUUUUUUUUAAAUAUUUUCUAAUGCUUUUUAAGACUCUGACCCAAAGCCCCAGAUUUCUCUAGUUAUUUAGGUCAAAUAAAAGUCUUUGGUUUGGUUUGGUUUUGCUUAUUUCUUGAAAAAAAAAGUUACUUUGUUGCUUCUGAUAGUUAGGUAAUUAUUUGUAGGUAUUUAUAUUUCAAAAGACACUUAAUUUUUUAGUUAACACCUCUUUUUGAAACACCCUCUCUUCUCCCAUCAUUCAGAAUAUAAAAUACAGCGAGAAUGGUAAUAUGGAAAUACAUACCAGACAUAUUUGAAGGCAGUAUUGGAAGAUGGCCUUAGGCUCAAAAGCUGAGCAUGAUUUUGUUCUUCUAGUCUAGAACCACAUUUUUAACACCACUUGCACAUCAUUUUGCCUUGUUUUUUCUCUGUGUUUCUUCAGUCUGAAUUAUUAUGGAUUUUUGUUUCUUUUUUCAUCAGACUUGUGUUUCAGAUGGAAAAGUUCUUGUAACGCAGUUUUUAAGUACACCCUCAAAUGUUGGUUUUUGCUUGAUUUUAUCUCCACACUAACAAAUGAACAUAGGCAUCCCAGUAAACAAAUUCAAGUCUUGUCAUGUUAAACAGUAUCUCAGGCAAUGAGUUCUCCCCAGCCCAUUGUAAGAAGUUUCAUAGUAUGCAGACAAACACAUACUCUUUAACUCUUGUCCUCCACAGUGAAAAUAUUUUUACCUGAAACUUUCUAAUUGAGAUUCAGUGAGAGUCAAGAAAUAGACUGUUGUAGCCAGUACAGAAUAUUGUAGCCAGAAUAGUGAAGAGCUUUAGAAUAUUACAAGUAUUGAAAGUGUGCCUGAAGCUUCAGGCAAGCUUAGCUGUAGACAGUACUACAAGUCCUGUUUUCACCCACAGCUGCACAGUAAUGAGAACAUUUCUUCUUGCAUUUUAUACCAGUAAUCCUGUUUCUGCUCUUCUAAUUUGACUAAACAUAGCUUCUCACAAAACCAGUUGCAACUUAGCUCCACAAAAUGUUUCAUCAUCUUAAUGUAGUUUUGAGUAUUUUUAUCCAGCUACGGGGUUUUUUGGCAGUAAUGAUAACAGUACAGAUUCAACCACUAACCUAGGAUAGUGCAGGCUUCAAAAUGUAUUCCUGAAGUGAGAGAACCCUCCUUAUGACAAAGUACUGGGAAGAGUCUAAAUUGAACUGUUAUGAAAAACUGAGUCAACUUACUGGAGAUUAAUUUCCCUUCAUUUCAUGUACAUCUUUGUCUCUAAUAUUUUAACCGUAUUGCUAGCCUUCUGCUAAUGUUCCUUAGCUAUUUCUUUGAUUGUUGUUGUUGAUACCUGACACAGUUUCUUUAAUAACAUGUACAGGAAGGUCUAAUGCAGCUCCUGGGAAUAAAGGAGAGAAAAAGCAGAGUCACACAGCAUUGGUGUAUCAUAAGCCAUGUGCAGCAAUUCAAACCAUGUAGUCAGACCAUAUUCCGGUCUACACACAAUGGUAGAAAAUCCAGCGAGACGUUCUCACAGCUGAGAAGAAGCAGGCUGACUGACGGGGGGAGAGCUGUAACCCCCCUUAUGCAUGACCCAGAAGGACCACUCUGCAUGCAAGUCACAAUGUGGCACAAAAUGGCCCUUUAUUGAACACGGACACAGGCUUAUAAACAGAGAGCAGGGAUCUUUCUAGAACUUAGGGAGGAGAUUGGGAGGAGUACUCAAAAGAGCGGCCAGUCAUGGUAACAAGGGGCGGAACCUAUCUAAACAUGGACAAAUAGAGAAAGGGUUUGUAUAGAACCAAUAGGAGAAAAGGUAAUGGGUACAGAGAAGGAAAUCAUAUAUUCUCAUAGUAAAACACAUUAUGCCAACAAGAGAACAAUUGCACAACCAAGUUAAACACUGGAAACAGACACUCUUGUGGUUAUGAUAAUCAUAUCUUGUGCAUGACAGCAUAAGUGCACUGCGAGAUAUUUUCUUCUCUCUCCGAUCUCUCCUCAUUAAGUCUCUUCCACCAGUCGUAGGAGUCUCUUAGGGCACCUCCAACAGCUGACCCUACUAGAGGACCAAGUAUCAAGAUCUGGUACUUCCGAUGUUAGCAGAUGUUUUUCCCCUUCAGAUAGGGAAAGGACAGGAGGUAACAGCUUUAAACUGAAAGACGGUAGAUUUAAAUUAGAUACUAGGAAGAAAGCUUCACUGUGAGGGUAGUGAGGCACAGAACAGGUUGCCCAGAGAAGCUGUGAAUGCCUCAUCACUGGAAUUGUUCAAGUGUUCACGGAACAAAAUGAUCCUUCAGGUCCUUUCCAACCCAAACCAUUCUAUGAAUCUGUGAUUCAGAUCUGCAAGACUGAAUAUACAGCUCUUUUAUUUUUGAGUUCUGGUUUAAAUUGCAGCAAUGUUAGUACUAAAUUUUAAUAUUAAUUUAGAAAUUUUAUAAGGCUUCAUUUUUAUUCUAAACUUGUCUGGCAUCUUCAGUAUUUCCCUAGUUAAUACAUAUAAAUAUUGACAAAUCUGUAUUUGAUACAUUUCAAACUACUCUUGGCCUAUUUUAUAUCGUAUCUGUGUUCGUUUUAUAAUAUGAAAAAUAUAUGUAAAGAAAAUUAUAUCCUUAAAUGGUUUGUAGGGUAUUCUGUAGUAUUACAUAUUUUGGCCUAUUCUAUGACGCUCUAUCUUGCUAGCAUGACAAGUAUUUUUGCAAAAUAAAAUAUGUCCAUCAAUUGUUCUUUUUGAUUCUAUGAUUCUUCUCAGCUUCAGCCUUAGAUUUUUAUUCCUAUAUGGUAAAACCCAUCAGUUCUUAUGAUUCAGUACUAAUAGUCAUGUUGGCCUUUAAAAUUAUUUUUAAUGAUUGACUCAAGUAGUUUUAUAUCAUUGCAAAAUCCCAAGUUCAUAAACUAUUAGAUCAAUGGCAAAACCUUAAAAUGCUUCCACUGCUCCUCAACAUUUUCUUUAGGACAGGUUUUGGUGUUUCCUUCAGUAUCUGUCAGGGUUAGUGGGACAGCUGUAGCUCUUUCCUCUUUCAGUCCUUCUGAAAUCUCUUCUAUAUGGGUCUUGCUUUUAGGUCUUUGCCUAGCUUUCAGAGAAAUGUCAUGAUUCACUGUGGAACCUAUGUCUUCGUAACUCGUAUGUCUCUCCAGGUAUUAAGUUCAGGCUUCUUUAUUUCCUUCCUUUGCAUGCACAGUAGCCACUGAGUUCAAAGUCUUCUUAGAAUCAGAAUGUCAUUUAUUUUAGCUAUAGAAACAAAAGGAAAUAUUAUUAAAAAUUAUAAACUGUAGAUACUUUCCAUAUUCAUCUUCUGUUGCCAUCUCAGCCUCAAAUUCUGCUUGGCUCCUUAGCUAUCUUAAUUCUUUUUACAGUUAAAAAGUACAGUUUUAGUCUUUGUCAGUAUUCUGUAUUUUUACCCUUUGACAAAAAAGCAUGUCUGUGUGUUCAUCUACAUGUUAAGUAUCUUGGAUGUUCAGAGUAAAUCUUCUUGGCAGUAGUCCCUGACAACUUUCACAUCUCUGUUGAAGCAUCAUCAGUGGUGCCCAUUUUUCAAUUCCUGCUAGUUCUUUGAGGUGUCUCCUGUUGACCCUGUAUAAAUUAUAUGAGGAACUGACUGCAUACACCAUAAAUGAGAGUUCCAAAUACUGCAAUACCCAGAACAUUUACUGAUCUUUAUGGUCAAUGCACUUAAUCUAUUUCAACUACCAUUGAACAAAUUCAGAGAAACUAAUUUUUUUCUUGUCUCCUAAACUUAUUCAUAGGUCAUAUUCAUAGGUCAUUUCUGCUUAAAAUCAUUUCCCCUCCCAACAGCCUUCUUCCUUUGUAAGCUCUCAAUAUCCCAAGGAAAUGUAAGGAUUUUUAUAGGGGUUUUUUUGACUUAACAAUGCUCACAUUUAGAAUUGCCUCCUGAUUCUGCUAGUGGCACUGGGGUCCUGCAACACAAUGAGCAAUUUCAAUUUCAGUUGAAAUGAGAGACUGUGGAGGACUCUUGUGGUCUUCUUCAUUUCCUGCUGCAUCCCAGCACUGGCAUUAGGAGUAGUGGAAAAGGAAAAAGUUGAUUGGAGACUCAUUUGGAACUUGCAUGUAAAUAUAUAUAUAAUCUGAAUCACAGAUACUGUGAGAGUAUAAGAAGGACAGAAGCGGCUGAUGAGACAGGAACUGUCUCUCUUUGUCCUGGGGCUGUGGCUCAGAGGAGUUCGCCACCUGCCCGCUGUAGCUGUGGGGAUCUGCUUUGCUGCCACCGCCCGCCUGCUACCAGUUGCCACAGGUACCUGCUUUGCUGCCACCACCUGCCCACUGCCAACCUCCAUGGGGACCUGCUUCACUGCUGCUGCCACUGCUGCCACUGCUGCCACUGCUGCCACUGCUGCCAGCAUCUCUGCCCAGAGUCACCGUUCUGCAUGGCUGCCACAACCGUUGUUGCCACUCAUGCAGCUGCAACUCUGCCCCACCUACGUCGUGAUCAUGUGACCACGUUGGGACUGUGUUGCAUUUUGGGUGACAGUUUUUUUCUGUUAUUGUUUGGUUGUUGUUUUGUUCUGGUUUGUUCUUUGUUUUUCAUGAAAUUGUUAUUAAUUUUCAUAUGCCAGUGGAAUGCCUCAUAAUUUAAAAAAAAAUUUGUAAUUUAGGGGGACGAGUUUCUAUUCCAUUGGAGGUCCCACCUCCUGGGACACAUUGUCAAUAAACCAAGAUACCCACCCACUAAGACUAGGCAUGAUUCUUGCGAUUUUCCCACUAAGCAAAAAUUUUCAGGAAACUGAUCAGUAUCAUGUAAAUGGCUUACAAGUGAUUGAGAUCACACCUUUGUGAAAUCUAUGUCAUCCAAAAUGCAGAAUGGUCGCUUCAUUUUGCAUGUUCAGUCCUGGGUAUGUACAUUCUAAUGUGAGCUUGUUUCAUAACUGCAAUCAAAGCUUUCCAACAUGUUAACCUAGAACUUUGUCAUAUACAGUCAAGAAGAAUAGGUAUACCACCUAAUAUUCAGCACCUGUUCUCCUUGAUGUGUUAUUGGAACUACAACUUACCCUUCUUUGUACUCAUUACUGAUCAGAAAAGGCUUGUUGUCAGACAGGGCUAACUUCUUGUCUUGUACAAGCAGGCAUCAAUAAAAGACGAAACAAAAGUAGAUGUGUUAAGGCAACAGGUGUAAUUACUGGUUUGUCUCAUAUGACAUUAAGAGAGCAGUAUUUUUACAUCUGUGAAUACAUCUGAAACAGACUCUGUCUGAAAUGAAGCUGAAAAGCCUUUUAGCUUCUGGCUGAACAAUUUUAUGCACCAGAGAACACUCUGAAGCCCCAAAAAGCAGUACUUGAGCAUUGCGGAAAGUUUCUGGUCCGUUCAUAUCUGUUGAAUUGAGAAGCAUCAUGGACCUGGGUUGAUGCGUUGUGGGUGAAUCACUGGGGUGCAUCACACUGGCAAUUACUCUGGAAAGUGAUUUGAUGCUUUUAUAAGGUGAUGGACAUUUUCCUGAUUGAUCUUAAAUAUUUGAAUAGCAUACACAGACAUAAAACUGUUUCCUGCUUAAAAACUUCAGCAUUUCAAAAUUUUUUAUGUCUUUCUGAGUUAAUGUAGUAUCUCUGUAUAUCUGUUUGUAUCACUCUCUGUUUAACUCUGUUUAUCCCUGUGUAUCUCUGUAUAGCUGAUGCAUUCCAAAUGAAAAAAAAAAAAACCACAAAAAUCUGUUUUUUUCACUAUAUUUUGUUAUAAUCUGUUUUCAAGAAAAGUGGACUUCUCAUAUUGCUGAAGUAUCUGCUGUAUGAAACGCAGCCAGGCAGUACUGAAAAUGGGCGGUUUUCAUGUGUAUAGUGUCUUCACUAGGAGGUUGCAAGAAGAUGCCAGAGCAUUUCACUUAUUCUUGUGGUCCUGGGGAGACAACACUGAAGAUGUGGAGGUAGUCCAAGAAGAGGAGAGGAGUUGUCCCUCUAAUCUGGCAACAGCCUCAUUAUUCAAUUCGGGAAACAGAUGAAAAGGGUCACCAUAUCAGUGGCCUCCACAAAACUGGAGAAAUCAACCAUCAACAUUUUUUGGAGUGAUAGUUUCUGUGAAAAGUUGUUUGACAUGUGCUUAACCAGAAGAAGUCCAGAUUCUCCGUAAGCCACAUCCCUGCCUGCUGUCUACUGAAUAAGCAGAGAAAUGAAGAUGGAAUUACAUCUACCUAGACUGUUCAAAGUUCUUGUGUGUUGAAGGCACAAGUUGAUUUCUCCUUGAAAGUACCAUCACAAUAAUUUACUUUUUCUUCAUAGGGUUGAGGGAACAACUUUAAGUAACUGACAAAUUGAUUAGCUCUCCUUGAUGUCACAUUUAUAAAUAUUUCUCCU